rnacentral:rRNA from 1 species
GACGAACGCUGGCGGCGUGCUUAACACAUGCAAGUCGAGCGGAAAGGCCCUGCUUUUGUGGGGUGCUCGAGUGGCGAACGGGUGAGUAACACGUGAGUAACCUGCCCUUGACUUUGGGAUAACUUCAGGAAACUGGGGCUAAUACCGGCUAGGAGCUCCUGCUGCAUGGUGGGGGUUGGACAGUUUCGGCGGUUGGGGAUGGACUCGCGGCUUAUCAGCUUGUUGGUGGGGUAGUGGCUUACCAAGGCUUUGACGGGUAGCCGGCCUGAGAGGGUGACCGGCCACAUUGGGACUGAGAUACGGCCCAGACUCCUACGGGAGGCAGCAGUGGGGAAUAUUGCACAAUGGGCGGAAGCCUGAUGCAGCAACGCCGCGUGCGGGAUGACGGCCUUCGGGUUGUAAACCGCUUUCGCCUGUGACGAAGCGUGAGUGACGGUAAUGGGUAAAGAAGCACCGGCUAACUACGUG